AGGUCCCAGACUGCGCUGAAGCUUUAUGAGACCUCUCGUCGUCUGUGCAUGGGCCAGUGGCUGACUCUGGUGCCCAGCCUGGUGGUGAAUCCUCCAUAGUCUGAAUUUAAGAAGACUAAAACAGAUGAUCUCUCUAUUUGUACUGAGUGAGGCCUGGACAUGGUACUUCUGUCACUUUUCUAUCUCUGGAUAAAAAGUUAGAAAAAUCUGCAAAAACAACAUCAACCUUUACCCCAUAUAUCAGGAAGAUGCCCGGUAGAAGACUCAUAUGAAAAAGAUCCUCUGAAGACAGAGGGGAGUGAGAAUAACCUAACUGAAUCCUCCACAGAGACGUAGGAGGUGCACACACACACAUACUCACACUUACGCACACAC